UACAGAGGGGGCAAGCGUUAUUCGGAAUUAUUGGGCGUAAAGGGCGCGUAGGCGGCUUGGCAAGUGACGGGUGAAAUCCCUCGGCUUAACCGAGGAACUGCCUGUCAGACUGCUUUGCUUGAGUCCGGGAGAGGUGAGUGGAAUUCCCAGUGUAGCGGUGAAAUGCGUAGAUAUUGGGAGGAACACCAGUGGCGAAGGCGGCUCACUGGACCGGAACUGACGCUGAGGCGCGAAAGCCAGGGGAGCGAACGGG
rnacentral:rRNA from 1 species